CUCCCAUACAUUCCAUUCCGUCGAGUUGCCGGGUUCACUUCACAUUGGAACUUUUGCUAGCGCAAACCACGCGGAAUAACUUGACGUGACACAUAUUUGCAGACUUUUUCUGCCGGAUACACACGGAACUUCCACACAAUAAACAUGAAAGUCGCACUUCAAAUUUGUUUAUUACUUAUCAGUUGCUGUCUUAUAUCUGCAUAUUGGAUAGAUUCCGAUUACUCCUCUGCCGCUGACGAGGACGACAGUAAUAUCAUGAAUUCUAUCAGAGCCGUCAAAAGGAGGACGUGCGCUAGCUGGGGCUUUAACUGCAUGCCCGACUCCCCCCUUCAGUUUACCAAAUGCUGUAAGGGUCUAUCAUGCACCUGCAACCUGUUUAUAAGGACCCAUUGUAAAUGUCGGGCAAGGCUGGGCAAAUAAACAUGAACUGUGUGGCGUAGACGUCUUGUAAAACAUUGAGAUACAAAAUAUUUUCCUUGCAAAACUCUGUGCCAUUCUCCGAUUGGACGUAUGGAUUAUUCAUAAUGUCAUUUACAAAACUUUAUAUGACUGACGAUUUCAAAUUUGGUUGUGAAAUUUCUACUAUGGUUGUGCUAUAAACUUCAAAUAUGCAAAGGAGAAUAUAAAGUUUCUAGUGUGUCGUCGUAUUGUGUCGUCCCUGUAUAACUGUACACCACCCAUGUUGGACUAUUAAAUCGUAAACCUAUCAAAGAAGACCCACUCAAGUCAGUGGCCUUUUCUCUUCAGAACCUGUGCUUCCUGGGGCAUGAGAUGUCUAGCUGAUUCAAAUUAUCCGUUCGCCAAGUGCUGUCCAGGUCUCAACUGUAACUGCAACAUUUGGAAAACCGUCUGCAAAUGCCGAGCACGACUCGGGUAACAUCGGCCUAACUCGGGCAUGUAUCGGGUGAUUCCGACUUUGGUGCAGCUAAGUUCGCUUUGCUAUUCUGGAUUCGGAUAAGUUCGAUUGCAGCUCAGUUUCUGUCGCUCAAACAGACAGGUGAAUACAACACGAUGCCUUCUACAUCUAAUCCAUUACAGACAAAUAAUAACCCAACUAUUGCUUAUAAUGGAUAUCUUCAAAGUAACUAUGCCGACGAAAAUAAUGUCGGACAAGUCGACAACCGCAUUUAUGUUUUACUGAAUAAAAGUUAAUUGAAAUACCCUUUGAAUUGAUUGAUUUAAGAUACUUUAAAUAAUCACAUUGUUUGCACCGUGUAACGUUUAAACUCGUUGAAUUGAUACUCUCGAUAACAAUAAUGUAUUUGUUCGUCUUCUUUAUCAUUUAUCUCUACAAUGCUCUCAGAAAAUAAAUAAAUUGUUAACAUCUUG